GAUUUCAAUUGAAAAAGUCAUCAACAACAAAGUUGUAUAACUCAUCAAGAUCUAUAACUUUUAUUUUGGUCGUUUCUUCAUCCGACAAAGUGAUAGUAACAUUGUUUACAAAAUUUACAUCUGUCUCAUCUGGUUCUAUAAACUAUAAGAGAGAUAUGUAAACUUUGUGAACAAUAUUAUUAUCACUUUAUCGGAUGAAGAAAUAACCAAAAUAAAAGUUGUACGUCUUGAUGAGCUCUACAACUUUUAUGUUCAUGACUUUUUCAGCUGAAAUU
rnacentral:pre_miRNA from 1 species